UUGCCCUAGUAACGGCGAGUGAAGCGGCAACAGCUCAAAUUUGAAAUCUGGCCUUCGGGUCCGAGUUGUAAUUUGUAGAGGAUGCUUUUGGCGCGGUGCCUUCCGAGUUCCCUGGAACGGGACGCCUUAGAGGGUGAGAGCCCCGUACGGUUGGACACCAAGCCUCUGUAAAGCUCCUUCGACGAGUCGAGUAGUUUGGGAAUGCUGCUCUAAAUGGGAGGUAAAUUUCUUCUAAAGCUAAAUACCGGCCAGAGACCGAUAGCGCACAAGUAGAGUGAUCGAAAGAUGAAAAGCACUUUGAAAAGAGGGUUAAAUAGCACGUGAAAUUGUUGAAAGGGAAGCGUUUACGGCCAGACCUUUUCCUGGCGGAUCAUCUGGUGUUCUCACCAGUGCACUCCGCCAGGUUUAGGCCAGCAUCGGCUCCCGUAGGGGGAUAAAAGCAGUGGGAAAGUAGCUCCCUCGGGAGUGUUAUAGCCCGCUGCACAAUACCCUUACAGGGGCCGAGGACCGCGCUUUUGCAAGGAUGCUGGCGUAAUGGUCGUCAACGACCCGUCUUGAAACACGGACCAAGGAGUCGAACAUUUGUGCGAGUGUUUGGGUGUCAAACCCUCACGCGUAAUGAAAGUGAACGGAGGUGAGAGCCCUCUAGGGGGUGCAUCAUCGACCGAUCCUGAUGUCUUCGGAUGGAUUUGAGUAAGAGCAUAACUGUUCGGACCCGAAAGAUGGUGAACUAUGCGUGGAUAGGGUGAAGCCAGAGGAAACUCUGGUGGAGGCUCGCAGCGGUUCUGACGUGCAAAUCGAUCGUCAAAUCUGCGCAUGGGGGCGAAAGACUUAUCGA
rnacentral:rRNA from 1 species